rnacentral:lncRNA from 1 species
GUAUAUUUAUGAAAUAUGUGCAGUUGUUCUUAGUUUUUAGUGCACUGACCAAUAGGUAGAGACGUUUUUCCUUUACACCUGUAUUGUUUUCAUGCUAUUAGCUAUUGAGUCAAAAAGACAGAGGGAGGCCAGUAGGCUUUAAUUGUAUUAUUCUCAGUUUGGCUACUGCUCUAAAGGGAAUAGGUUUGCAAAAAACAUCAAAGGCAAAAGGGCUUGCUAUUUUCUUUUCUUUUUUGUGUAGUUUUUUUAAGUAUUGUUGUAAUUUAGUGCUAGUUUACAGUUUUUAGUGCACUUGCACCUGGUCAUUAAUUUUUAGAGCUCUUAUUCACAUGUAAUAUUUCAUAUGUGUCUCAUUUUAUUAGAAGUUUCAUUAUGUACACAAUAAUUUAUUCAUGUCACUUAGUUAUAUUUUCUAAUUAUAUUCUUGGUGGAUUUUUCUUAUUUAUAUUUUGGUGUUCUUCUAGGUGGUAUUCCUAUCAUCGAAUAGUGUGGCUGGCAUAGAUGGGGAAGAUAAAAUAAUUGUCGUGGAUUUGACGAGGUUCUUGAAGACGUAAUCAUGUGUGUUAGACUGUUAGUAUUCUGAUGCAUAUAUGUUUUAGAGUUACUUCUUUUCUCUGUCAUAUUCACUAAACCGAGUCAGCAUUUUAUUUUAUUUUUUGGGUUUCAUAGGUUUGAUCCUAUUAACAUGUAGGUCAAUCAAGGAGAAUGAAUUCAAAGAUUAGGAGUGCCAAAAGAUACAAAGAUCAAUUUUUUUUUUCCCAAUCUCUACGGGUGUGUUUCUCUCUACAGAUGUGUUUCUAAUAUUAAUCAUCAUUUAAUCUCAUUUCUUUUGUGAUCUCUCUUUUUUUUUGGUUUGAACUAGGAGUUCUUCUAGAUAGCACAAACGAUUUGAUGGAAGAUAGGCUGUGGUUAGUAGUACACUCUGCACUGGCACUAUAACUCUUCAGGUGCACGAUUAUUUUACUUUGCAUUGGUUGUGGCAAGGUAGUUUCUGAUAAAUGCGCGUUAAUUGCAAAUUUAAGGGUAGUUGUGGACUUGAGGAAGGGAGAGAAAAUAAGUAUGUGUCUCCUUUUAUCAUAAGUUUCUUUAUGUCCAUGUAUUUGUUUCAUC